AGUGAACGCUGGCGGCAGGCCUAACACAUGCAAGUCGAACGGCAGCACGGUCAGCGCUUGCUCUUCCGGUGGCCGACGGGCGGGCGGUUCAUGGGAACAUCGCCAUCUAUUUUUUCGUGGGGGACAACGUAGGGAAACUUACGCCAAUCCCGCAUACGACCUACGCGUGAGAGCGGGAGGUCUUCCGCCCUUGCGCGAUCCGAUGACCCGAUAUCGGAUUAGCUGGUUGGGGGGGUAAAGGCCCACCCAGGCGGAGCUCCGUUGCCGGGCCGAGAGGGCGACUAGCCCAAAUGGGAAUGAGAAAAGGGCCAGAAUCCUAAGGGAGGCAGCAGGGGGGAAUUUUUGACAAAGGGGGGAACCCUGAUCCAGCCAUGCCGCGGGCGGGAAGAAGGCCUUCGGGUUGUAAAACGCUUUUGUUCGGGAAGAAAACCUAGGGGCUAAUACCCCGGGGGUUUGACGGUAACCGAAGAAUAAGCAACGGCUAACUUCGUG
rnacentral:rRNA from 1 species